CUAGGAAAACCGAAAACAGUUCUAGACAGACCUGCGGUUUUAUAGCAGUUUUGGCAGUCAACUUCAGCUUGUGCCUGAGCAGACGGGGCUGUGGUGGCCCGCCAGCGGGGGAUGCCAAGCCACCUCCCCCAGCGGCACGCAGCCCCUCUCUUAAUUAGAUCGGUUUUCCCCUGGUGUCAGGGAGAGCGGUCCCGGCAGAAAGGAGGUCCAACAGCCGAGCUUAGCCCACCGGGCUCUGGGAAAGACCCGACUGAAGCCAAAGCCGCCCCGGAAGGCCAAGUCCGAGUUCCAUUUCUUGAAGAGGCCGGAGCGGGUAAGGCUGUGACAUUGGCCCUGGCGACUGGCUUCCCAGGAGCUGUUCUUUCUCAGGAGCUCCACAGCGCGGUCCAUCUCCAGAAAACUGUCUUCAGAGUGUAUUUCCUUUUAUCGUCAACCCAGAGCCCCACCGCGGCUAAUGCAAGAGGCCAAAAAAUGUUUGGAGGAAGAAAAACAAAGGCAGGAAGUGGCGGCGGCCUGACGGUGCGUGUGUGUCUGCGGAGAAGGGAGGGAGCCGGUUCAGUCUCUUCUUGUUUUUCCAAACUUCAAGGUCCAGGCAGCCCUCUGCAGGGCCGGGCCCCAUCGCUCCCCGCGCAGCCUUGGAGGUGGCCACCCGGAGAGGAGAAGGCCAACGCCCGCGCCAGGCUUGUCAGGCGGAAACGGCUAACAAGGAGAUUUGGUCAGCAAAACAGACCGAGCCUUUCCGAGGCUUCGUCUGACUUGGCCCGAAAGGUUGGGGAGGGGGGGCUUGCGCAGCGCCUCAGGGACCCUCCUCUCUGGGGACUA
rnacentral:antisense_RNA from 1 species